CAGUCCAGGCCCGGCUUCCGCCCGGUCUCCCGGCAAGGCUGAGGCCCCGCCCCCGUCAUGGCGCCCGAGGAGAACGCGGGGAGCGAACUCUUGCUGCAGAGUUUCAAGCGCCGCUUCCUGGCAGCGCGCGCCCUGCGCUCCUUCCGCUGGCAGAGCUUAGAAGCAAAGUUAAGAGACUCAUCAGAUUCUGAGCUGCUGCGGGAUAUUUUGCAGAAGACGUGCUGUAUUGCCCAGAAGCCAUCGUGUCGCUGGUCGGGGUCCUGCGGAGGCUGGCUGCCUGCCGGGAGCACCAGCGGGCUCCUCAAUUCUACAUGGCCCUUACCGUCUGCAACCCAGAGAUGUGCCAGCUGUUCACCACCGAGCUAUAGAGCACUUGGAGAUGGCAAAGCUGAACCUCACACUGUAGGACUCACACAUGACUCCAACGGGAUUGUGAGAAUUAAGUCACUCUCGUGGGAAGAAUUUUUAUAUGGGAAAGCGGAUAAAACUUUCAUUGGACUGGAAUGUUUGGAGAAUGUUAAAUUCCAAAUCAGGAACCACAAACUGCGCUCUAAUAAGACAUCGGCUAUCUAAGCAUGUGGGUUCCCCCUUUCUGCCAGCAGUUCUGGUUCUUAAGAAAAUCACCAUAAAUCAGACAUGAAAAUUCUGGCUCCAAAAAUAGCAUUUUCAUUGUGCAAAUAAAAACGUGUGUAUCAAGUAUGACAUUCCCCCAACGUGGACACACUUGGUUCCUCACAAAGCCAAGCCCGCUGCAGCUGCCACAUCCCUGGACACACUCGUUUCCUCACAAAGCCAAGCCCGCUGCAGCUGCCACAUCCCUGGACACACUCGGUUCCUCACAAAGCCAAGCCCGCUGCAGCUGCCACAUCCCUGGACACACUCGUUUCCUCACAAAGCCAAGCCCGCUGCAGCUGCCACAUCCCUGGACACACUCGUUUCCUCACAAAGCCAAGCCCGCUGCAGCUGCCACAUCCCUGGACACACUCGGUUCCUCAAAAAGCCAAGCCGGCUGCAGCUGCCACAUCCCUGGGUUUAUGAUGCAGCAGGUGCUUUUUUCAAGACAGGAAUCAAAGUGUUAGGAACAUGGCAGAAAGGUGACACCUGGAGACCAAAUGCAGGGUAAGGAGUACUGCAGAGGUCACAGGGAAGUCACAGAACAGUAAUACGCUAGCAGGGGCAUGGGGCGUGAAGAACAGAAGACAGGAAGCGUUUCAGAGACUCCAAAGAAGAAAUCAGGGCCAACCACAGCUUCCCGAGUCAUUCACCAGGUGGCACCACUGCCUUCAUUUCAGCUUCCGGCCACUGGGAGGCGCUGCUCGAAAGGGUUUGCCCUGAGACACCAAGAAGAAGCUGCGGGAAGGACAGCAGGGGCCCUGGGGUUUUAGCCUCUGGCCCAGGAGUUAUGUGUCCAUAACCAAAGGGAGCACAGUCUGCACCCAGCUCUCAUCCCAUCAGAGCUGCUGCGACUCCCGCAGGUUCUUCCAGAACUGGUUUAGCUUGCCUGCAGGAUCAGGAAAGUUUGAGAAAAGCAUCUGCAAAAUACUAAAGAGCAGAGCUUACUUCAUUGCCUGUCCCCACCCCAUCCCAGGUCACCACCUGGCUGAACCCAGGUCCCCGACCCAACAACAACCCCUCCCAAGUCCCUAACUCCCUCACUUGGACUUGAGACCCUUCACAACCCAGCAGCGCUCCGCCUCCAACUUGACAUCAUGCUUUCUGGAAACUUCCCCGUGUGUCCCACUUUCCCACACUUGGUGCGCUGGAGCACCUUCCGGCCUCUACAUGCUGUACGUUCCCCUGUGAGCACCCUCCUCUCAGCCUCUGGCCAACACAGUCCCACCCAUCUGUGGGUAACAAGGGGGUGUGGGUGUUCUUUUCAGCCUUGCUAAACUGUCUGAAUCAAGGAUCACAAACUACAGCCUGCAGGCCAAAUCCAGCCCACAGCCUGUGUUUGUAAAUAAAGCUUUAUUGGAACAAAGCCACACCCC
ensembl:lncRNA novel transcript